GGUCCUAUAGCUCAGUGGGAGAGCACUUCGUUCACACCGAAGGGGUCACUGGUUCAAUCCCAGUUAGGACCAC
rnacentral:tRNA from 1 species